rnacentral:rRNA from 1 species
GUGGAUAAGAGACCCGGAACACAUAGGACAUCUGAUAAAUUAAAAACCUCUGUUGUAUAAAAGUCGUAACAAGGUCUCCGUUGGUGAACCAUUGGAAGUAAAAAAUCGUAACAAGGUUUCCGUAGGUGAACCUGCGGAAGGAUCAUUACCGAGUGCGGGCCCUCUGGGUCCAACCUCCCAUCCGUGUCUAUCUGUACCCUGUUGCUUCGGCGUGGCUACGGCCCGCCGAAGACUAACAUUUGAACACUGUCUGAAGUUUGCAGUCUGAGUUUUUAGUUAAACAAUAAUUAAAACUUUCAACAACGGAUCUCUUGGUUCCGGCAUCGAUGAAGAACGCAGCGAAAUGCGAUAAUUAAUGUGAAUUGCAGAAUUCAGUGAAUCAUCGAGUCUUUGAACGCACAUUGCGCCCCCUGGUAUUCCGGGGGGCAUGCCUGUCCGAGCGUCAUUGCUGCCCUCAAGCACGGCUUGUGUGUUGGGCUUCCGUCCCUGGUAACGGGGACGGGCCCAAAAGGCAGUGGCGGCACCAUGUCUGGUCCUCGAGCGUAUGGGGCUUUGUCACCCGCUCCCGUAGGUCCAGCUGGCAGCUAGCCUCGCAACCAAUCUUUUUAACCAGGUUGACCUCGGAUCAGGUGGAAUGGCUCCCCG